AGUGAACGCUGGCGGUAGGCCUAACACAUGCAAGUCGAACGGCAGCACAGUAAGAGCUUGCUCUUACGGGUGGCGAGUGGCGGACGGGUGAGGAAUACAUCGGAAUCUACUUUUUCGUGGGGGAUAACGUAGGGAAACUUACGCUAAUACCGCAUACGACCUACGGGUGAAAGCAGGGGAUCUUCGGACCUUGCGCGAUUGAAUGAGCCGAUGUCGGAUUAGCUAGUUGGCGGGGUAAAGGCCCACCAAGGCGACGAGCCGUAGCUGGUCUGAGAGGAUGAUCAGCCACACUGGAACUGAGACACGUUCCAGACUCCUACGGGAGGCAGCAGUGGGGAAUAUUGGACAAUGGGCGCAAGCCUGAUCCAGCCAUACCGCGUGGGUGAAGAAGGCCUUCGGGUUGUAAAGCCCUUUUGUUGGGAAAGAAAAGCAGCAGGUUAAUACCCCGCUGUUCUGACGGUACCCAAAGAAUAAGCACCGGCUAACUUCGUG
rnacentral:rRNA from 1 species